CCUACGGGUGGCUGCAGUGGGGAAUAUUGCACAAUGGGCGCAAGCCUGAUGCAGCCAUGCCGCGUGUGUGAAGAAGGCCUCCGGGUUGUAAAGCACUUUCAGCGGGGAGGAAGGCGUUAAGGUUAAUAACCUUGUCGAUUGACGUUACCCGCAGAAGAAGCACCGGCUAACUCCGUGCCAGCAGCCGCGGUAAUACGGAGGGUGCAAGCGUUAAUCGGAAUUACUGGGCGUAAAGCGCACGCAGGCGGUCUGUCAAGUCGGAUGUGAAAUCCCCGGGCUCAACCUGGGAACUGCAUUCGAAACUGGCAGGCUAGAGUCUUGUAGAGGGGGGUAGAAUUCCAGGUGUAGCGGUGAAAUGCGUAGAGAUCUGGAGGAAUACCGGUGGCGAAGGCGGCCCCCUGGACAAAGACUGACGCUCAGGUGCGAAAGCGUGGGGAGCAAACAGGAUUAGAUACCCGUGUAGUC
rnacentral:rRNA from 1 species